GACGAACGCUGGCGGCGUGCUUAACACAUGCAAGUCGAACGGAAAGGCCCUGCUUGCGUGGGGUGCUCGAGUGGCGAACGGGUGCGUAACACGUGAGUAACCUGCCCUUGACUUUGGGAUAACUUCAGGAAACUGGGGCUAAUCCCGUAUAGGAUCUCCUGCAGCAUGGAGGGGGUUGGAAAGUCUCGGCGGUUGGGGAUGGACGCGCGGCUUAUCAGCUUGUUGGUGGGGUAGUGGCUUACCAAGGCUUUGACGGGUCGCCGGCCUGAGAGGGUGACCGGCCACAUGGGGACUGAGAGACGGCCCAGACGCCUACGGGAGGCAGCAGUGGGGAAUAUUGCACAAUGGGCGGAAGCCUGAUGCAGCAACGCCGCGUGCGGGAUGACGGCCUUCGGGUUGUAAACCGCUUUCGCCUGUGACGAAGCGUGAGUGACGGUAAUGGGUAAAGAAGCACCGGCUAACUACGUG
rnacentral:rRNA from 1 species